rnacentral:rRNA from 1 species
GCGCAGCAGUCGAGAAAGCGCGACAGGGUUACCCCGAGUGUCGUCCGCUGAGGACGACUUUUCCCCAGUGUAGAUAGCUGGGGGAAUAAGGAGAGGGCAAGUCUGGUGUCAGCCGCCGCGGUAACACCAGCUCUCCGAGUGGUGGGGACGCUUAUUGGGCCUAAAAGCAUCCGUAGCCGGUCUAACAAGUCCCUUGUUAAAAUCCAGCGAUUC